AAAGUUUGAUCCUGGCUCAAGAUGAACGCUGGCGGCGUGCUUAACACAUGCAAGUCAAACGGGAAAUAUUUCAUUGAGACUUCGGUGGAUUUGAUCUAUUUCUAGUGGCGGACGGGUGAGUAACGCGUGGGUAACCUGCCUUAUACAGGGGGAUAACAGUCAGAAAUGGCUGCUAAUACCGCAUAAGCGCACAGAGCUGCAUGGCUCAAUGUGAAAAACUCCGGUGGUAUAAGAUGGACCCGCGUUGGAUUAGCUUGUUGGUGGGGUAACGGCCCACCAAGGCGACGAUCCAUAGCCGGCCUGAGAGGGUGAACGGCCACAUUGGGACUGAGACACGGCCCAAACUCCUACGGGAGGCAGCAGUGGGGAAUAUUGCACAAUGGGGGAAACCCUGAUGCAGCGACGCCGCGUGAAGGAAGAAGUAUCUCGGUAUGUAAACUUCUAUCAGCAGGGAAGAUAGUGACGGUACCUGACUAAGAAGCCCCGGCUAACUACGUGCCAGCAGCCGCGGUAAUACGUAGGGGGCAAGCGUUAUCCGGAUUUACUGGGUGUAAAGGGAGCGUAGACGGUGUGGCAAGUCUGAUGUGAAAGGCAUGGGCUCAACCUGUGGACUGCAUUGGAAACUGUCAUACUUGAGUGCCGGAGGGGUAAGCGGAAUUCCUAGUGUAGCGGUGAAAUGCGUAGAUAUUAGGAGGAACACCAGUGGCGAAGGCGGCUUACUGGACGGUAACUGACGUUGAGGCUCGAAAGCGUGGGGAGCAAACAGGAUUAGAUACCCUGGUAGUCCACGCCGUAA
rnacentral:rRNA from 1 species